rnacentral:rRNA from 1 species
UACGAAGGGGGGCUAGCGUUGCUCGGAAUCACUGGGCGUAAAGCGCACGUAGGCGGAUUGUUAAGUCAGGGGGUGAAAUCCUGGAGCUCAACUCCAGAACUGCCUUUGAUACUGGCGAUCUUGAGUCCGGGAGAGGUGAGUGGAACUGCGAGUGUAGAGGUGAAAUUCGUAGAUAUUCGCAAGAACACCAGUGGCGAAGGCGGCUCACUGGCC